GUUGCCUUGUGCCUCUAGCGUCACACAGAGCACUCCCUUGGUAAGGGAGAGGUCGAGAGUUCAAUUCUCUCCAGCAGCACCA
rnacentral:tRNA from 1 species